GUUACAGAUGUGUCUACAGGGAAGACUUCUCCAGCUUCUCCAGCUGCUACCUUGGAUGCUGCACUCAAGCCCAGCUCCCGUCACAGGGGUGCUCCAACAGGGAAAAUCCAAGAUACAACAGAUAAGAUAUCCCUGGAACCAUCCAAACAGAUGAGGCAAGAGCUGAAGGAACUCCUGCAGACAAGACAAGGAGCACCUCUGGACAGGAGUUGGAAGACGGUGGCUGCACCUCACACCCAGACAGCGUGAGCUGCUCCUCCCACAGUAAUAACGGCCUGGACAGCCCUCUCAACUGUUCUGUGAAGGGAACCCAAGAACAGCCAUCUACAAGGAAACCUCCUACUACCCUGUAGAUCCCACUGCCGCCUGCUCUCCCCAUGGGUCUCCCCAAGAUGCCUUCAUCCCUUUUUUGAUCUCCCUGCAUCCCAUCCCAGCCAAUUCUCAAGGUCUUCUGGAGACCCCAGGCCCAGCCGAGCACCCUCCAGCCCAUCCUGAGACCAACACAUCCCUGCCUCUGCCCCUGAGCUCCCUGGCCUUGCCCUCUAAACAACACUGGAGUUAAGCCCUGCUGCCCCACCAGGGUAGGCGAUGGCCCCUUCUUCUGUUGCACUACAGAGAUGGAGCUGCCACCCCAGUGUCUGGGUGGUAGCAGC